GAUUGGGUAUUAUGUAACUGGAUUUUUUAUUUUUUUUUAGAAAAUCACUUAUUAAAAAUGCAUUACAUGAACUAUUUUAAAAUUACAUCUAACAAUAUGGUACAUAUUGUUGGAAUUUCGUCAAAUUUUUUAUCAAGAAUUUCACUAAAUAUAUGGAGAUUUCUGAAUCAAUCUUGAUGAAUAAAAAUUAUUCUUUUUAAUUGAUU
rnacentral:lncRNA from 1 species